rnacentral:rRNA from 1 species
UACGUAGGGAGCAAGCGUUGUCCGGAUUUAUUGGGCGUAAAGAGCUCGUAGGCGGCUUAGAAGUCAGGUGUGAAACCUCCAGCUUAACCUGGAGACGCCACUUGAUACUUCUAUGGCUUGAGUUCGGUAGGGGACCAUGGAAUUCCUGGUGUAGCGGUGAAAUGACGCAGAUAGUCAGGAGGAACACCGAUGGCGAAGGCAGUGGUCUGGGCGAUACUGACGCUGAGACACGAAAGCGUGGGUAGCAAACAGG